GGCUCAGGAUGAACGCUAGCGGCAGGCCUAAUACAUGCAAGUCGAACGGUGUCUUCGGACAUAGUGGCGCACGGGUGCGUAACACGUAUGCAACCUACCUUACAUUGGGGGAUAGCCUUUCGAAAAGGGAGAUUAAUACCGCAUAAGACAGUAGCUGGGCAUCCAGCAGCUGUUAAAGAUUUAUCGAUGUAAGAUGGGCAUGCGUCCAAUUAGUUAGUUGGCGAGGUAAUGGCUCACCAAGACUUUGAUUGGUAGGGGAACUGAGAGGUCAAUCCCCCACACUGGCACUGAGAUACGGGCCAGACUCCUACGGGAGGCAGCAGUAGGGAAUAUUGGGCAAUGGACGCAAGUCUGACCCAGCCAUGCCGCGUGCAGGAUGAAGGCGUUAUGCGUUGUAAACUGCUUUUAUACAGGAAGAAACGACUCUUGCGAGAGGCAUUGACGGUACUGUAUGAAUAAGCACCGGCUAACUCCGUG
rnacentral:rRNA from 1 species